GUCUUUUUGAAAAUAAUUUAAAGUCUAGCCUGCCCACUGAAAAUUAAAUGGCUGCGGUAUUUUGACCGUACAAAGGUAGCAUAAUCAAUAGUUUCUUAAUUAGAAGCUUGUAUGAAUGGUUGGAUAAGAAAAUUACUGUCUCUGAUUAAAUUAUAGAAUUUUAUUUUUAAGUUAAAAAGCUUAAAUGAUAUUAAAAGACGAGAAGACCCUAUAGAGUUUUAUAAUUUUUUUAAAGUUAAAAUUUUUGGAAUUAAAUAUUUUUAUUUUAAUUAAUUAUUUGAUUGGGGUGAUUGAAAAAUUAAAUAAACUUUUUUUAUUUUUUUACAUUAGUUUAUGAUUAAUUGAUCCAUUGAAAUGAUUAAAAGAAAAAAUUACCUUAGGGAUAACAGCGUAAUUUUUUCUUAAAGUUCUUAUUGAAGAAAAAGAUUGCGACCUCGAUGUUGGAUUAAAGGAAAUUUAUGGUGAAGAAGCUAUAAUAUUAAGUCUGUUCGACUUUUAAAACUUUACA
rnacentral:rRNA from 1 species